rnacentral:tRNA from 1 species
GGUUAUUUAGUGAAUAUUGGCAUCACGAUGAAAUUUCAAUUCAUAAAACAUAUAACU